rnacentral:rRNA from 1 species
AUUGAACGCUGGCGGCAUGCCUAACACAUGCAAGUCGCGCGAGCGGCGGACGGGUGAGUAAUGUAUGGGGACUGCCUUAUCGCUGGGGAUAAAUACUGGAAAAGGUAGCUCAUACCGCAUCCUAUCCGAUAACCCAUAUGGGAUUAGCUACUAGGUGGGGUAACGGCUCACCUAGGCGACGAUCUCUAGCUGGUCUGAGAGGAUGAUCAGCCACACUGGGACUGAGACACGGCCAGGACUCCUACGGAGGCAGCAGUGGGGAAUAUUGCACAAUGGGAGCAAGCCUGAUGCAGCCAUGCCGCGUGUAUGAAGAAGGCCUUAGGGUUGUAAAGUACUUUCAGCGGGGAGGCGUUACCCGCAGAAGAAGCACCGGCUAACUCCGUGCCAGCAGCCGCGGUAAUAC